rnacentral:rRNA from 1 species
UAAGGAAUAUUGGACAAUGGAGGCAACUCUGAUCCAGCCAUGCCGCGUGAAGGAAUAAGGCCCUAUGGGUUGUAAACUUCUUUUAGACGGGACAAAACCCCUUUACGUGUAAAGGGUUGAUGGUACUGUCAGAAUAAGCAUCGGCUAACUUCGUGCCAGCAGCCGCGGUAAUACGAAGGAUGCAAGCGUUAUCCGGAAUUAUUGGGUUUAAAGGGUGCGUGGGCGGACUAAUAAGUCAGUGGUGAAAGCCUGCAGCUUAACUGCAGAAUUGCCAUUGAUACUGUUAGUCUUGAGUACAGUUGAGGUAGGCGGAAUGUGUCAUGUAGCGGUGAAAUGCUUAGAUAUGACACAAAACACCGAUUGCGAAGGCAGCUUGCUAAGCUGUAACUGACGCUGAGGCACGAAAGCGUGG